GAAGUGAACUUAGAGGUUGUGGGGCCGAGGGGUCGUCUUAUAGCUACCAGCCCACAGGCAUUUAGUCUACGUUGGAGGUAAACAAAUACGGGUCCUGCUUAGGAGAAAAGAAAAACGUCUUACAGCCAGUGUCUAAACUCCAAACAACGGAAUGUAUCAAUGAGACCUUGUAUAUGGAUACACGUGCAUUUAAAACCGCCCUGCCGGCUUGUAGAGCUUUUGCCGUUCUCCAGCGCUUUACAGGGGUUAUCGCACUUAAGCCUCGGAACAACUUUACCAGAUGAGGACACCUGAGGUUCAGAUUAAGAAAUCUGCCCCAAAGUCUUAGAACUGGUAUUCUCCACUGGUUGAAUGCAAAUGGAAGCCAGAGGAAAAGGGAACCCUUGACACAGUUUUCAUAUAGAUUGGCCUCCAGGGCAGACAGCAGGAGUGGGGUUUAAUCUGGACUGAAUUGGAGGAAAGGAACUGGCACCAGAGUGGAGGCUGGAAGGAUGGUGGAACUGACACUGGGACAGAACACAGAAAACAGAAUCUAAUGCUAUUGCUCUGGCUAUAUCAAAUAAAAGUGUCAAGAGUGAGCAUCCUUGCCUUGUGCUGAAUCACAAAGGAAUACCUUUCAGUUUUUCUCCAUUGAUUAUGAUAGCAGUGGGCUUUUCACAGUGGGCUUUACUGUGUUGAGGAGGAGGUCUGAUGGCCGGGAGGACAGGAAGAAGGAACCCACAAUGAAGCAAAAGUUGCGUUUAACUCUGUCCUCACCAUUCCUCUCCUGGACCUGUCCUAAACUGGAAGCUGGGGGAGGAUGGAGUGCUGGAAUGCUGCAGAAGUCUCAUGGGAGGGCGCCUGGUGUUCACCACAUGUGUACACUGUUGCACGACCAGAUGGAAAUUUGAAUGCUGGGGCUCAGUGGAACACCUGAAGGAAGCUGGUGAGGCAGAUGUCCCGCUAUGCCUUCCAAGUGUCAUGCAACCAGUUCAUGCCUGUCAGCAUCUCUGCCGGUGGACUCUGUGAGUCAGCAAAUCUACAGAGCAGAGAGCCACAAGUGGGGACAGAUGUGGUCAAAUGCCAUUUAAAUCAGUGAUUCUCAACCCAGGAGUUGUCAUGGCACUGGCCUUGAGUGAGCUGGACCAAGGGAAGUGGUAGAAUUCCCCAUGAAGGACCAAGUGAGCAGAUAGAAGUUUCUCCAUUUUAACUUUUUCUGAGUCAAUUUAAAAAACACCUAGUGCCUUUUUCUGU
rnacentral:lncRNA from 1 species